GUACAUCUGUAACCCCCCCUCAAUCAGAGUGCAUGGUCCAUCCCACCCCGCUCUCUGCCACCGUCUACAUCAGCUGUGUAUGUUGUGUCCUCUUGGCGGCGCUGAUGAGCUGGAUUCAGGUUUACGUCAAUCGACUCCGACGGUUCAUCGCCGCCUUCUUCAACCCCGAGAUAGAGAAGAAGCGAGUGUUGUACCUGUACAAACUGCAGAAGAGCAGACGGCUUCACUGCAAGGACAAACGGCGCUCACGCAAAACCAGGACGGUGUUCCAGAGAUUCAACAGAUGGUGUUGCCGUCUUUGCCAGAAGGAAUCCGACCAAGAGACGUACUACGCUCCCGGUUAGAGGAACAAAGUAUAAUUUGACGUCAUUAUUUUAGUUUCAUUUUUGGUCUAAUUUAAGUUCUAAUGUCUUAGUCUUUUUAAAGAGAGUUUAAGUGUAACAUAGAUUCAGUUGUCUGAACUUUGACUGCUUUUAGCCUCAGCUUAUGGUAGUUUUUGACAGCCGAAGAACUAUUGCUGACAAAAACGACGGGGAAAAAUGAUCAGUUAACUAAGUUCAACCAAGGUUGUUGUCAGUUUUUAUUUUGACCCCA
rnacentral:lncRNA from 1 species